UUUGCCCUGUGAGACGUAACUCUGGCCUCGAUGCCACUGUUGUGCCAAAAGUGGGCAGAAAGAAACUGGCUUGUGAUCGACCCUGCUGUCCUGCUCUGUGGACUAGGGGCUUGGAACGAGGCCGAAUAUU
rfam:Danio rerio chromosome 21, GRCz11 reference primary assembly.